rnacentral:rRNA from 1 species
GACGAACGCUGGCGGCGUGCUUAACACAUGCAAGUCGAACGGGAUAAUUUGAGAGCUUGCUCUUAGAGAAUCUAGUGGCAAACGGGUGAGUAACACGUAGACAACCUGCCGACAGGAUGGGGACAACAUUCCGAAAGGAAUGCUAAUACCGAAUGAAGCGGAGGAGAGGCAUCUCUCCUCCGUGAAAGAUGGCCUCUGAAUAUGCUACCACCUGUCGAUGGGUCUGCGUCUGAUUAGCUAGUUGGUGAGGUAACGGCUCACCAAGGCGACGAUCAGUAGCCGGUCUGGGAGGAUGAACGGCCACAUUGGGACUGAGACACGGCCCAGACUCCUAAGGGAGGGAGCAGUGGGGAAUCUUCCGCAAUGGGCGCAAGCCUGACGGAGCAACGCCGCGGGAGUGAAGAAGGUCUUCGGAUCGGAAAGCUCUGUUGACGGGGACGAACGUGCGAAGGGUGAAUAAUCCUUUGUAAUGACGGUACCUGUCGAGGAAGCCACGGCUAACUACGUG